rnacentral:rRNA from 1 species
AGCGAACGCUGGCGGCAGGCUUAACACAUGCAAGUCGAACGCGCGUAGCAAUACGUGAGUGGCAGACGGGUGAGGAACACGUGGGAACAUACCCUUUGGUUCGGAAUAACUCAGGGAAACUUGAGCUAAUACCGGAUAAGUCGGAAACGAGAAAGAUUUAUCGCCGAAGGAGUGGCCCGCGUCUGAUUAGCUAGUUGGUGAGGUAAUGGCUCACCAAGGCGACGAUCAGUAGCUGGUCUGAGAGGAUGAUCAGCCACACUGGGACUGAGACACGGCCCAGACUCCUACGGGAGGCAGCAGUGGGGAAUUUUGGGACAAUGGGCGCAAGCCUGGUCCAGCCCAUUCCGCGUGCAGGAUGAAGGCCUUC